AGUCCUCGGCUGCCAUGAUCUUUGAAAGAUGAUGCACAUUUGCUUCUCCUCCUAGCAAAUGUUCUCCUACCUUCUUUGCGUGGCUGUACAAUGCUUCGUCAUUGACAGUAGCCGGGUAGAAUCUCGACUUUUCUUCCAUGAAGUCUACCGUGGCAGUACACUGAUGCACAGCCGCUUGAACCUCUAUGACCUCUUGAAUUCUUUGCCGGAGGUAGGAAAUACCUUCCACGGUCAUGCUUCGGAAAGUACCUCCAAAUGU
rnacentral:misc_RNA from 1 species